UGUGAGAAUGAAGACCUUUAUGGUGAUUCAUUUCCAGUUAAGGAAUAGGUGUAAAGAUGAUCAUGAUCAGGAGGAGCAUGAACAAGAAUAGAGCUGUGGAUGGAAAUACUUGGGAUCAGAUAUUG